CUUACUCUUGCGUGUAAAAUAAGACUUCUACUCUUCAAAAUGCCCUCUGCUUACUUGAUAUGCUAAGGUUGGCAUACCAGGUGGAGACGCAGGAUAACUAGAUGCAGGAUCCAAUCCAGGAUACCAUAUUAUUUCAUGCUACGUCUGAAAGUUCUAAAACAGAGCACAAAGAAGGCUCACUAAGUACGGCCUUACCACCAGCCAUUGUUUUUGGUCAGAGAUGAUGAUGCAUUCUUGGAUGGACUAGAUUUUCAGCAAAGGAGCUGCUUUUCACAUAUGAUAUGUAAGAAAUAAAUACGAAGAUGUCAUAAAAAAUAAACUUUCUACUUGUGUGAAAG
rnacentral:lncRNA from 1 species